rnacentral:lncRNA from 10 species
UAUUUUACUGUUUAAAGUGGUGUAUAAAGUAGAAACUGCUAGGGGGCCCUGUCUGUCUUCCCUUGUCUUCCUGAGACAGAACAUGGUUCAGGCUCUUAACCGUUCAGUCUUCCAAAUCCUAAGCAUUCCAUUGAACCCCGACCUGCCUGGUAAAUGGGGCAAAUCAUCUGGGAAGGAGACCCAUCCUUCAAUUCCUGAACACAUAGCCAUUGCUACCUGGAAGAGAUGGCUCUGAGAAUUUUAAUUAGGCAUGAGGUAGAGCGAAGGAUGAAACUGGGAGAACUUGUUCCAAAAUUUAACAAUUAGAUCACUGCCUUUUGAAACUCCCAAACAUGAGCCCUCAAAAAGGACCAAGAGGACUAAUGCCUUGGGCCUUCAAAUGCCCUCGGAAAGGAGGUGGAGGAACAUUAUGUUUUGUUUUUGUAGUUAUCACUCUUCUUUUUCCUGAGGUUAUUUUAGUUAUGCGUUCAUAGCACAUAGACCUUUACUAGGUAAGACCAGCAAGCAAUGUGUUCAUGGUAUGCAAGUGAGCUAAAAGGGCAAAAGCGGAGGAAAC